CCCUCUAAAUGACUUUGCUUCUAGCAGUUUCCGGGGGUGGGGGUGGGGGAGCUUUCCUAAAUAUAUUCCUUGUUUCUCUUUGAAGCACUUUUAAGUGUGUGUGUGUGUGUGUGUGUGCAUACAAUUGCAAGAAAGUCCAUGAGAAGAAAGCAUUGUAAGAACCUUGCCACCAUGGCACGCACCACCUGCAAGCUCCUUAAAGACAGCUGCAAAAUCAGGUUGUUCCUUGAAGUCCGCCCAACAGGGUUAGGAGGAAACAAAAGAAGAAAUGACAAAAAGAAAGGAGAGAGGUAAGUCAAAAUUAAAUACAUAAGAGCCCUAGUUUUAAUUUUUAAAGCUUAAGAAUUGCUAUAUCAUCCCAGGGUCCCAAAAAGAACAGAUGGCACAUGCAAAAUAAAGAUUAUUUGGGAAGGGUUUAUUUGCA
rnacentral:lncRNA from 12 species